GUGGGGACAGGAAGGAAGGCACCCCCAGGACUGCAAGAGAGUGAGAGAAUGAGGGCAUGGAGAAGCUGUCGGGCAAGACCUGAGGCUGAGUUUCAUUCUCAUUUCAGAGAAGACCAAGGCUCCAGUGCAAUGCAAAGGCAUUGCUUGUUUCAGAGACAUCUGGGAAGGUAGGGUGACAUCAGGAAAUCAGCACUCUAUUCCUCAGUCACUGUCAGGGGAACCGAAGGCUCAGGAGGGAGAAUCAGAGACCAUGGCCUGGAAGUUUGCCCCAGGGUACUUGAGCAGCUGAUCCCUUUCGAUGGAGGACCAUCAAGCAGCCAAUUGGAGAAGAUAAGAGCUCAAGACCUCAAAUCCAUCUACUCAGAGUUUCUCAGACUUUUUCACCUACUGAUAAAAUAAAUUCCUCUCCAUCUCCUGAAGAUCCAGAGAUGCCCUGAUUUGGUGGGAUGAGAGGUGCUCAUUUUGAAUUCUAAUAUCAGUUUAUGAAUUAUCAGUAGCCAAAGAAGAUUCUAUCCAGCUUUUCUUUCUGUAGCUUGUAUUAGCAAA